UGAUUUAAAAUCACUUUUUAAGAUGCCAGCAACAUCGUGCUUCAUAUCUGCACAUCUACAUGCAGCUGAGAGGAUUAAAUGGACUUGCGCUGCGCAGAUUCAGCACCUUUUGUGGGGACAGGAGGCUUUUAUUGCUUUUGCAACUCCUCUCACUGACUCCAACUUGUGUUCAUCUAUGAGGUGAUGAAGGACAACAGUGACCCAAGUAACAAAGGACUUGGGAUUUUUUUCAACAGCAAGGAAAACACCAGAGGUCAAAACAUGAACAGUUUCUGUUACAAUGCUUUUAAUUUUACUGAAAUUAAGUUUCAUGUUCCACAAAUCUAUUGGUGACACAGCUGUAAUGGAUGAUGACUGCUUGUGCAUGUUUGCAAAAACAGAGCAGUUUCAGAAAGUACUUUUUUUUUUUUUUUUUAUUGGACUGGCGUCAGUGAUGGACUGAAGAUGACCACGCUUCAAA